rnacentral:rRNA from 1 species
UGGGGAAUUUUGGACAAUGGACGCAAGUCUGAUCCAGCCAUUCCGCGUGCAGGACGAAGGCCUUCGGGUUGUAAACUGCUUUUGUACGGAACGAAAAAGCUCUUAUUAAUACUAGGAGUCCAUGACGGUACCGUAAGAAUAAGCACCGGCUAACUACGUGCCAGCAGCCGCGGUAAUACGUAGGGUGCAAGCGUUAAUCGGAAUUACUGGGCGUAAAGCGUGCGCAGGCGGUUAUAUAAGACAGAUGUGAAAUCCCCGAGCUUAACUUGGGAACUGCAUUUGUGACUGUAUAGCUAGAGUACGGCAGAGGGGGAUGGAAUUCCGCGUGUAGCAGUGAAAUGUGUAGAUAUGCGGAGGAACACCGAUGGCGAAGGCAAUCCCCUGGGCCUGUACUGACGCUCAUGCACGAAAGCGUGGGGAGCAAACAGGAUUAGAUACCCUGGUAGUCCACGCCGUAAACGAUGGGUACUAGGUGUCUGGGGGAACGACCCCCUGGGUGCCGGCGCUAACGCAUGAAGUACCCCGCCUGGGGAGUACGGCCGCAAGGCUG